UUUUAUUGGUGACUGAGAUGUUUCAGCAAUUUCUAUUUUGUCCUAGCUUUCAGUGCAAAUGGAAAAGAUGUCAUUGUCGACUUCCCUCAGCAGUCUCACUGGACCGGGCUGUUAUCAGAAAUGGAGUUGGUGCCUAGUGUUCAUCCUGGGGUUACGUGUGAUGGCUGUCAGAUGUUUCCUAUCAAUGGAUCUAGAUUCAAAUGCAGAAACUGUGAUGACUUUGAUUUUUGUGAAACAUGUUUUAAGACCAGAAAACACAACACCAGGCAUACAUUUGGCAGAAUAAAUGAACCAGGUAUGAUAGAAUGCAAUAUUUUGUG